rnacentral:rRNA from 1 species
UACGUAGGGUGCGAGCGUUAAUCGGAAUUACUGGGCGUAAAGCGUGCGCAGGCGGUUUGCUAAGCUUGAUGUGAAAGCCCCGGGCUUAACCUGGGAAUGGCAUUGAGGACUGGCAGGCUAGAGUGUGGCAGAGGGGGGUGGAAUUCCACGUGUAGCAGUGAAAUGCGUAGAGAUGUGGAGGAACACCGAUGGCGAAGGCAGCCCCCUGGGCUAACACUGACGCUCAGGCACGAAAGCGUGGGGAGCAAACAGG